rnacentral:rRNA from 1 species
AUUGAACGCUGGCGGCAUGCCUUACACAUGCAAGUCGAACGGCAGCACGGGUGCUUGCACCUGGUGGCGAGUGGCGAACGGGUGAGUAAUAUAUCGGAACAUACCCUAGAGUGGGGGAUAACGUAGCGAAAGUUACGCUAAUACCGCAUACGAACUAAGGUUGAAAGUGGGGGAUCGCAAGACCUCAUGCUCAUGGAGUGGCCGAUAUCUGAUUAGCUGGUUGGUGAGGUAAAGGCUCACCAAGGCGACGAUCAGUAGCUGGUUUGAGAGAACGACCAGCCACACUGGAACUGAGACACGGUCCAGACUCCUACGGGAGGCAGCAGUGGGGAAUUUUGGACAAUGGGGGCAACCCUGAUCCAGCAAUGCCGCGUGAGUGAAGAAGGCCCUCGGGUUGUAAAGCUCUUUUGUCAGGGAAGAAACGGUCUACUCUAAUGCAGUGGGCUAAUGACGGUACCUGAAGAAUAAGCACCGGCUAACUACGUGCCAGCCGCCGCGGUAAGAC